CACCAGCACAUGUUGUUUUGAAUGCUGAUUUUUUUUCACAAAUUUACACAUCAAGACAGACUUCCUUGGACAACCAGAUUUAGAAAGACAAUGCUGGAACACCAGUGACAAACUCCAACGACCAUGUGACGUUGUCGAAGAAGAACGAUACAAAACCAACACGCUGAAACCAAGAACAAUAAACUAAAAAGCAUAUCCUUCUACAUACUGUUUGGUUGUUGUUCUCUGUUGCCUUGCUGUUGCUGGGAUUGUUUGCAAUGCAACCUCUGUCAUUAAUUUACAGUGGGUCUGUGAAUGACGCGACUCAGCGUGGCCUGGAUGAGUAUGUUCAAGAAGCUGUGCGGACGCGUUUGUGCUCGAGACGGAGACGGAAAGUCAAGUAUACCCACUCCUUUAGUAGAUCAACUUUGGCCCAGCAAAGAAAAGAAUGCUUCAUGUACCGUGUCUAAAAAUCAACCUAAUCCCAUGGAAACUCUUAACUAUUUUACAAUAUGGCUAAUCUGUGUAGAUUUCUGCAGUGUUGAUUGUACAAAAAAACUUAAGAUUAUUAGAAAUAAUGAAUGAUGAAGCCCCUCCCCUAACCCUAAAGUAUUUGGUAAGAAAGCAAAUCAUACUAAAACGUAUGAAAACGAAUUCUCACCAUCUCGUAAAAUAGUUAUGAAUUCCUGCGAGAUGCUCUUGGAAAAAAUAGGGCAAAGUGUACUUGAAUAGUAAUUUGAAUAUUGCACUUCAGUGAGUUGUGUUUUUUGACAGAAAUAUCUGUCAAAUUAAUGGAUAAUGUACAAUACAUUACAUUAUGUACAAUAUAAGUAAAUUUUCAUUUUUGAGAGUGCAUAGUCUGAGGUGUUGCAGGGUGUUUUAUCUCUUCAGUCUCCUCGGAUGUCCUCAGACGUGCUUCCCGUACGCAAAAUGGCCCAAGGGUGAUUAUAUCCAACGCAAGAUCAUGUUCACAGCAUGUUCCUAACAUACGGAGCACUCUUGACCCCUUUGAUCUUGCGGACAAAUGACCUAUAACUGAGACCCUCGUGUGGCCUCUCUACAUGGAUUACCGUUAGGAAUCACUUGAACACAGACUUGUGUGCUAAUCCAACAAAUUCCCAGUGGGACACAUUUCUGCUUGCUUUUUUCUCUUUUUUCCAGAGGUUAAAAUGAACAUUCAGGGGCAUCAUUCUGUUUUGGUCAAACUGAAAGCAGAUGCACCACACAUCUAAUGUUUUGCUGUCUUAAUGAAGCACAACUGCAUGGAGACUGCAUAACAGUAAAGCAGUCAUGCAGAUUGACCCAGAGCUCCAGAUGGGUCAGAGAGAGAGAGAAAGAGCUGAAAGUGAUGGAAAAGGGAAUAAAAGACGGUUGAGAGAGGAACCGACAGAACAGCUGGGUGAAGGACAUGUGCGUGCAGGCGGAGAAGGCAAAGGAGGAAAUGUGCAGACAUCCCCAAACAAAGAAAAGAAUAUUUGUGAAUUUCACCUUUGGAUGAAUUGUUCUACACCUUCAGACUUCAGGCAGAUCUCAAAGUCAAAGGUCAAUGUCAGGAUCAUCUGAUAACAGAGGAUAUGACUCGGCGUAGUACGACGGUGGGAUUUGCCCACCCCAUCAGACGAUUUGUCCACCCUGACUGCACCCAGAGCCGCUGAGAGAGAGGAUCGGUGAACCGCCGUUGGUGUGAAAAAACUGCUCCGUUGCAGUGAACGGAGUUGGCGCGACUCUCUCUCAGCGACUCUGCGUCCACCCUGCCCCCACACCAUAUGACAGCCAAUCACAAAAUUAAUGCGAUAUUCAAGUCAGCUGCAAAAAAAUUUUUUGGCAAGACAGUCUAUGGCUCUUUCAAAAACCAUGUGGCCUGCCUGGAGCCUUUACCAACAUUUGAUCGUGAAAAAACAUCUUAAUGCAUGCAGUGCUAUGCUCAAGCAUCACGACACUAAUCAACGGCAAACAACGUUUCUAUGGUAACCUCUGGCCCCCGCAGCCCAGAUGAAGCUACCCAGAGCGCGAGGAGUUUAGAAAAGUGAGCGUCAUGCUUUUAUUGAAAGUUACGGCUCUCUGUGGCGUAUGAUGCAGAACUCGUUGCCUCAAUAAAUUUAAAGUUUUAAAAACAAACUGUUAGGUUUCAUAUCCCCAAACAAAAAAAUAUAGCUCAUUUUAUGCAAGGCCAUAUAGAGGAGGGGGCUGACAUUCUUUGUCAUGUUAUAAAGGUUAUAAACAGACCCUACACAUUUUUGUUUCAUAUAGUUUCUAUACCUUUUUUGGUUAUAACAGGUGUCUUAUUGUGCACUAUAUAAAUACCUGUAUUCCCUAGAAUAAAUUAUCUUAAAACUUGA